GAUUCUCUUUUGUCAAGAUAAACAAAAACGAAGCCAAGCACACAGAAAGAGGCUCUUGCAUAACAGGUACAGAAGACGUUCACAACCUCAGCCACUGAAAAUCUUGGAUUUUCAAAGCCACCCUCAUCUCCUCCUCAUCAUCAUCUAUCCAGCACCUGUGGCCCUGCAGAGGGGAAGUUCCAGGGGAGAGGAAACCCCC